rnacentral:rRNA from 1 species
GACGAACGCUGGCGGCGUGCUUAACACAUGCAAGUCGAACGAUGAAGCCAGCUUGCUGGUGGAUUAGUGGCGAACGGGUGAGUAACACGUGGGUGAUCUGCCCCAAACUUUGGGAUAAGCCUGGGAAACUGGGUCUAAUACCGAAUAUGACCAACCCUUGCAUGGGGGUUGGUGGAAAGCUCCGGCGGUUUGGGAUGGGCCCGCGGCCUAUCAGCUUGUUGGUGGGGUAAUGGCCUACCAAGGCGACGACGGGUAGCCGGCCUGAGAGGGCGACCGGCCACACUGGGACUGAGACACGGCCCAGACUCCUACGGGAGGCAGCAGUGGGGAAUAUUGCACAAUGGGCGCAAGCCUGAUGCAGCGACGCCGCGUGAGGGAUGACGGCCUUCGGGUUGUAAACCUCUUUCACCAGGGACGAAGCGAAAGUGACGGUACCUGGAGAAGAAGCACCGGCCAACUACGUGC